rnacentral:rRNA from 1 species
UACGGAGGGUGCGAGCGUUAUCCGGAUUCACUGGGUUUAAAGGGUGCGUAGGUGGGAAUGUAAGUCAGUGGUGAAAUCUCUGAGCUUAACUCAGAAACUGCCAUUGAUACUAUGUUUCUUGAAUUUUCUGGAGGUCAGCGGAAUAUGUCAUGUAGCGGUGAAAUGCUUAGAUAUGACAUAAAACACCAAUUGCGAAGGCAGCUGGCUACAGGGAUAUUGACACUGAGGCACGAAAGCGUGGGGAUCAAACAGG